AACGAACGCUGGCGGCAUGCCUAACACAUGCAAGUCGAACGAACCCUUCGGGGUUAGUGGCGCACGGGUGCGUAACGCGUGGGAAUCUGCCCUUUGCUUCGGAAUAACAGUUAGAAAUGACUGCUAAUACCGGAUGAUGUCUUCGGACCAAAGAUUUAUCGGAGAGGGAUGAGCCCGCGUAGGAUUAGGUAGUUGGUGGGGUAAAGGCCUACCAAGCCGACGAUCCUUAGCUGGUCUGAGAGGAUGAUCAGCCACACUGGGACUGAGACACGGCCCAGACUCCUACGGGAGGCAGCAGUGGGGAAUAUUGGACAAUGGGCGCAAGCCUGAUCCAGCAAUGCCGCGUGAGUGAUGAAGGCCUUCGGGUCGUAAAGCUCUUUUACCAGGGAUGAUAAUGACAGUACCUGGAGAAUAAGCUCCGGCUAACUCCGUGCCAGCCGCAGCGGUAACAC
rnacentral:rRNA from 1 species